CAGCGCGGGGCCCGAGCCGGGUCCGUUAAAACCGUUGGGAAUCAGCCCCGGCGCGCGGCCGUUAAAGGUCAGCCAGUGAGAACAGCGAGAAGAGUUUAAAAGGAAGACAGAUUUACAGAGUGAGCGUCAGAGGAGCGGGAGACAGAGUAGGAAGGCUUUGGCUCAACGGGGCUUCGGCGAUAAAGGGUCGAGGUGAGCUAUGCAGGACCUUGGUCAGACCCCAGUUGGAGUACUGUGCUCAGUUCUGGUCGCC